rnacentral:rRNA from 1 species
AUACGUAGGGCGCGAGCGUUGUCCGGAAUUACUGGGCGUAAAGAGCUCGUAGGUGGUUUGUCGCGUCGUCUGUGAAAUUCCGGGGCUUAACUCCGGGCGUGCAGGCGAUACGGGCUUAACUUGAGUACUGUAGGGGAGACUGGAAUUCCUGGUGUAGCGGUGAAAUGCGCAGAUAUCAGGAGGAACACCGGUGGCGAAGGCGGGUCUCUGGGCAGUAACUGACGCUGAGGAGCGAAAGCAUGGGUAGCGAACAGGAUUAGAUACCCUGGUAGUCCAUGCCGUAAACAGUGGGCGCUAGGUGUAGGGGUCUUCCACGACUUCUGUGCCGUAGCUAACGCAUUAAGCGCCCCGCCUGGGGAGUACGGCCGCAAGGCUAAAACUCAAAUGAAUUGACGGGG